rnacentral:rRNA from 1 species
UGCCAGCCGCCGCGGUAAUACGGAGGGUGCGAGCGUUAAUCGGAAUUACUGGGCGUAAAGCGCGCGUAGGCGGCUUUGUAAGUCGGAUGUGAAAUCCCCGGGCUUAACCUGGGAACUGCAUUCGAUACUGUCAAGCUAGAAUGUUGGAGAGGCAAGUGGAAUUUCCGGUGUAGCGGUGAAAUGCGUAGAGAUCGGAAGGAACACCAGUGGCGAAGGCGGCUUGCUGGCUCGAUACUGACGCUGAGGUGCGAAAGCGUGGGGAGCAAACAGGAUUAGAUA